AUGAUGAUCUUGUCACCUAAUAAUUUGCUUAUUUGUAUAGCCUCUCUGUCUCAGAAAAGCAGUGGCCGUCUUCUUUUUUAUGCCAACUAAGAGAUGCGUUGUGAUUUCAUGAUUGUUCUAACUUGGAUAUUGGCAGGAUAAGGUUUUACUUGCUGGAAUUGCUGAGAUUAUUUGACACCCUGGCUGUGGGAGAUGCUGCUUAUUAAAAGUUGGGUCUACGUAAAGGAUAUCUGAUGGAGAUGUAGCGUAAGAGAAUCAACGGAGGACAUUGAGGUUAUUGUUUCUUGUCAACCUGCGGCUGUUAUUGGUACAGAGUUGUUAUCUCAGGUUUAGAGCUGCAAAUGAAGCGUGUGCUCAUGAAAAGCUUGAGAUGGGAGUCCGUGUGGCUUUCAUUCAUUUAUCUUCUGAACAACCAAAGAUGAUAUAAUGCAACUCAAUAGUGAAGCGUCACUUCUUAGUGUCCUAACGCAAGGAGAAGUCAAACCUCAUCCAAAUCCUGUUGCAUUGUUUGUCUUUCCAUUGAUGAUGAUGUCUGUUUCAGGAAACGACGCUCAGGUCAACAAGUAACUGGAUGAUGUUCCAGUUGCACGCAUCAUUUGUGAUUGUCGAAUCUGGCUCGUCUAUUGUAUCCUUAUUACGCAGAUGGUCUUUCAUUACAAAUGAAAUAGUAAUCUGCAUUGCUAGUAGAAUAGAGACUUGCAAGCAUGUACUUGAAGCUACUGCUACCUGAGCUUAGUAUUGUGAUUACCUACCUGAGACUCAGCAUCCAGAAAAAGAUCACUUCAAUCAGAAACUUUAUGAUCCAAAAGCAACUAAAGCAGUGUUAGAAGCUUGCAUCGGGUUGGAGAAGCUCCACUCAUGUUGGGAUGAAAAGUGGUCUGAACUCCCAAUGCCAUGUUUCAAGGAGAAGAGUUUCGAGUGAGCAGACUGGACAUGGUUGAAAGCCUCCUGGUAUUUAGUGUUGUCUACUGAGUGCUGCAAACAAAAAGAUGAUGUGACACACCCCAGAGCAGUACUCUCCUCUCUCAGCGACAAGAUGGACUCCAUCUUGGACCUGGCAUGGUCAUGUCUUGCCCCGUUUGACAAAAAGAUAAGCUCCAAUGAUGUUACUGAUUCCGUGAAAUAGUUUCUGAAGCUGGAAAAUGAUGUUUAGGGCUCAGAAACAGCAACCGGUGAGGAAUCCUCAUGUUUUGAGUGGGUUCCUGUGAGUUCUCCAGAUCAGUGAGGGUAAGAAGAAGUCUCCAUAAUCCAAAGCCUUAGCUGAGGAUAUCUGGCCAUUUGGUGGAUGAACUGGAUCUCUGUGUUGCUGUUCGUAGAAGUGUUGGAAGAAAUUUUCUCUGUCUGUUCUAAGUUCAUAUACAAGACCAUUUGCAGACCAGAAGAGAAAAGAGCAGUGAAUGGAUUGUGAUAGGGAGGAGGCCCUUAAGGCCAAAGAAACUGCCGAAAGGAAAUUCAACAAUAAGGACGUCAAGGGUGCCAAAAAGUUGGCUCUGAAGGCUCAAAAUCUCUUCCCGUCACUUGAAGGCAUAAGCCAAAUGAUCACAACACUGGAUGUUUAUCUUGCGGCAGGAAAAAAGAUUAAUGGGGAGAGUGACUGGUAUGCAAUUCUCUCCGUGGAUGCCACUGCAGAUGAAGAGACACUGAAGAAACAUUAUAGGCAGUUAGCCCUCCAGCUGCACCCUGACAAGAACAAAUCCGUAGGAGCAGAAGGUGCUUUCAAACUCAUCUCCGAGGCUUGGAAUGUAUUUUCUGAUAAGAAUAGGAAAAUGGCAUAUGACCAGAUGAGAAAUGUCGAUGGUUUAGAAAACAGAGCUUCACAACCACAUAGAGAUUGUUCUGUUCAUAAGACUGCCAAUGGUUUCUACUCAUCUUCCAACACAACAUCUGGCAAAAGAGCUCGAAAGAGAAAAACUGGUUCUGCUCCAUCUGCUGCCCCUCCUCAACCUCAUCCAAUAAAUUUGAACACGUUUUGGACAUCUUGCAACUGCUGCAGGAUGCAGUAUGAAUACCUUAGGACUUACCUUAAUCACAAUCUUUUAUGUCCCAACUGUCAUCAGGCCUUCAUGGCUAUCGAGAUAGGAAUUCCAGGUAAUGCAGCAAAUUCUUCUAUUUCAUGGUCAGCCAGGCAGCACGAACAUAAUUCAAACUAUAAGUACACAAUAAAGAAUGGUUAUAGUUCUGGGUUCAGUACCUCCACUUUUUCUGGAACAGGUCAUACAGAAUUACAGCAUGGGGGAAAUCUUGACUUUUAUAACCGUCAUAAGUUCCAAUGGAGCUCUUUCACUGGAUCAUCUGGGACUUCUAGUACAACAGAUUCUGCUUUUCAGCCUGCAAACUUAAUCCAUAAGAAAUUUGGAAAAAAGAGAAGAAAGCAUGAGGCACAAGCAGCAGCUCGAAGGGAAGAGUCCUUCCGGACGGAUUAUCAUGUAUACAAGAGUGCAGAUGAUGGUUCUAGAAAUUACAAUGAUGGUCACACCCUAACAAGUUAUGAUCAGGACCGGUGUAUUUCUAAGGCUGGCAGGCCAGCAAAGAGGAGGAACAAUGGUGACCAAAGCGGUGAUUGUUAUAUAACAGAUGAGACAGAGAAUAUGUCUACAAGCAUCGAAGACACCAUUAAUCCUGAAGUUGAAAGGUCUAAUGGUGCUGUUGAGGAUCUUCUUAGAACUAGAAUCACAGCAAGACAGAACAACUACAUCAGGGAGUAUUCACAAGUCAAUAUCUGGAAAAUGCUUACGGAGAAGGCUAAGGCAGCGAUUGGUAUAAAGCUAGAAGAAUGGAACUUAGCUCAGGCAAACAAGUUGGAAGAAAAAGAGAAAUUAAGGCGGCAAAAUGGACAAGAAGCAUCUGCAAUAGAUGCAAAUACAGGCAGCAUUAGGGAAUCUUCAGCCCAUGGCCUUGAUGUUAAUACAGCUAAGAAAGUCGUUAAACAUGCAUCCAUUGAUGUACCUGAUCCUGAUUUCUAUGACUUUGACAAGGAUCGCUUGGAGAUGACUUUUGAAGGUGACCAGGUAUGGGCUACAUAUGACAGUGAAGAUGGUAUGCCUCGACUCUAUGCCAUGGUUCAAAAAGUUUUAUCUUUGAAUCCUUUUAACAUCCGCAUGAGUUUCCUUAAUACAAAGUCCAACAGUGAAUUGGGACCAGUUAACUGGGUAGCCUCUGGAUUUGACAAAACCUGCGGGGAUUUUAGGGUGGGUAGAUAUCAAAUUAGUGACACGGUCAAUAUAUUCUCACAUAGAGUUAGAUGGGAGAAGGGUCCACGUGGAGUCAUUAGAAUUGUCCCUAAGAAAGGUGAUAUUUGGGCCUUAUAUAGAAAUUGGUCUCCAGACUGGAAUGAGCUUACGCCUGAUGAUGUGAUAUACAAGUAUGAAAUGGUGGAAGUACUUGAUGAUUACACAGAUGACCAUGGUGUGUCUGUCAUCCCAUUGGUGAAAGUUGCUGGUUUCAAAGCAGUGUUCCAUCGACAUAUGGAUCCAUUGGAGGUUAAGAGGAUCACAAGAGAAGAAAUGUUUCGUUUCUCACAUCAGGUUCCUUCUUAUUUGCUCACAGGCGAAGAAGCUCAUAAUGCUCUGAAGGGUUGCCUUGAAUUGGACCCGGCAGCAACUCCUGUUGAACUUCUUCAGGUUAUAACCGAAGUUAAGGAAGAUUUGGGGAUGGAGAUAAACAAACAACAAUCAGGUAAUUGAUUCAGAAUCUAUUAGGGGCAGUGGAUGAACCUUUGGCAUCGAACAAUGGACUUGUCACAAAAUGAAGUCUCAGGGAGCUUCCAUUCACCAUUUCAUCAUCCUUUUUUUUCUCGAUGACUUGGACUAGGAUGCCAGGGUUGGUGACCAUUCACAUAUCUUCUGUUACAGUCAUUGUUGGGCAUAUCUAACCAUUAACUCUUAUUCCAAUAUGAGAUUGCUGGAAAUAGCAGUUAGUUUCUGGGACCUUGUUCCUGCUAGAACCUGAUUUCCAUCUUACCCUUGAACGUCAAACCAUGCGCUGAAAGAAUUCUAUAUUGGCAGUUUUUGAAUCUAAUCUUCAUCUGGGAUGAUCGAGAGAAGGGUUAAAACUUGAUGAUUGAGGUCUCCAGAGGUACAUUCAUGAAUGCAGGUCUUCGUGGUGGAUGGAUGAGGACAGGUCCUUCCCGAUCCGUCUGGUUCUUUGAUCCUCUUGUAUUAUAAUGACAAUGGUGGAUCAGUAAUUUAUACUGCAGCGAGGAGCCUAUCAGGACCUGCAACCUUGACCAUACCAACGAAGAACAUGAGCUGAAGCCCUGUUAUCAGUGGUGUAAUCUACAUACUAUUAGGGUUCUCCACCCAUGCAACUGUCUCCCGCAGAAUUAACUAUGAAGUAGAAGAAGAUGAGUUCUAAAGGAUAAACGACGGAGACAGAGUUGACACCAUCAAUUGAGUACUAUAUUUAUUCAUAGGAAUAAAGGCGACAGAAGUAAAUUACACGAUGCACACAGCUCGUUUGUUUUCCUCUUCAGCAUUGUCUGUCUUCUUCAGUCCAACCGCUGGGGUGACGGUGGUGGCUCAGGCAGAUCGUAUUCGGCAGGAUGAUCAAGGCGCUGGAUCUGUCCAGCUCGAGGAACAUACGGCGACUGCAUCCCAUUUGGGCCUGAGGGAGCCGUUCGCUGCUUGGGAAGUAGACCUCGCAUCUCAUCGUUCUCUUCUGCAACAACACCGCCGGCAGCUACUUGCAGACGCUUGUCCUUGUCCCUACCGUUUUUUCCCAGUCUUGUUCCUGCUGCAGCAGUGGCUGUAGACACAACCAGAACCGCCAUUACAACGCAAAUGACCCUUGUUUGCUCCAUAUGAUCUCUGCUAUCUCGAGGCUUUGGAUGAUCUCGUAUGGAUCAUCUACUGGCCUUUUAUAGGCAGGCUUAUGGAGGUGGGAGGGAACGAAGUUUAGAGAGCCAUGGCAUCGCUUACUCUUCUUUAAUCUCAGAAAACUUGUCCUCAUGUACUUUAAUUAGGUACGAUCUCUCUUCAUGUACUUUAGUUUUCCUUCUGAUCAAGGUGGCUAGCACUUGAGGUAGACACAUA